GACGAACGCUGGCGGCGUGCUUAACACAUGCAAGUCGAACGCUGAAGCUUGGUGCUUGCACUGGGUGGAUGAGUGGCGAACGGGUGAGUAAUACGUGAGUAACCUGCCCUUGACUCUGGGAUAAGCCUGGGAAACUGGGUCUAAUACUGGAUACGACAUGUCACCGCAUGGUGGUGUGUGGAAAGGGUUUUACUGGUUUUGGAUGGGCUCACGGCCUAUCAGCUUGUUGGUGGGGUAAUGGCUCACCAAGGCGACGACGGGUAGCCGGCCUGAGAGGGUGACCGGCCACACUGGGACUGAGACACGGCCCAGACUCCUACGGGAGGCAGCAGUGGGGAAUAUUGCACAAUGGGCGGAAGCCUGAUGCAGCGACGCCGCGUGAGGGAUGACGGCCUUCGGGUUGUAAACCUCUUUCAGAACGGAAGAAGCGAAAGUGACGGUACGUGCAGAAGAAGCGCCGGCUAACUACGU
rnacentral:rRNA from 1 species